GACGAACGCUGGCGGCGUGCCUAAUACAUGCAAGUCGAGCGAAGUUUUUCUGAUGCUUGCACUAGAAAAACUUAGCGGCGAACGGGUGAGUAACACGUAAAGAACCUGCCUCAUAGACUGGGACAACUAUUGGAAACGAUAGCUAAUACCGGAUAACAGUAUUUCUCGCAUGAGAGAUAUUUAAAAGUUGGUUAUGCUAAAACUAUGAGAUGGCUUUGCGGUGCAUUAGCUAGUUGGUGGGGUAAAGGCCCACCAAGGCGACGAUGCAUAGCCGACCUGAGAGGGUGAUCGGCCACACUGGGACUGAGACACGGCCCAGACUCCUACGGGAGGCAGCAGUAGGGAAUCUUCCGCAAUGGGCGAAAGCCUGACGGAGCAACGCCGCGUGAGUGAAGAAGGAUUUCGGUUCGUAAAGCUCUGUUGUUAGGGAAGAAUGGAUAUGUAGUAACUAUACAUGUAAGAGACGGUACCUAACCAGAAAGCCACGGCUAACUACGUG
rnacentral:rRNA from 1 species